AGAGUUUGAUCAUGGCUCAGGAUGAACGCUAGCGGCAGGCCUAACACAUGCAAGUCGAGGGGUAACAGAGAAGCUUGCUUCUGCUGACGACCGGCGCACGGGUGCGUAACGCGUAUGCAACCUACCUCAUACAGGAGAAUAGCCCUUGGAAACGAGGAUUAAUACUCCAUGGUAUCAUUCUUUCGCAUGUUAGAAUGAUUAAAGAAUUUCGGUAUGAGAUGGGCAUGCGUCCCAUUAGCUUGUUGGUGAGGUAACGGCUCACCAAGGCAACGAUGGGUAGGGGGCCUGAGAGGGUGGUCCCCCACACUGGUACUGAGACACGGACCAGACUCCUACGGGAGGCAGCAGUGAGGAAUAUUGGUCAAUGGAGGCAACUCUGAACCAGCCAUGCCGCGUGAAGGAUGACGGCCCUAUGGGUUGUAAACUUCUUUUAUAUGGGAAGAAACUUAUCUACGUGUAGAUAACUGACGGUACCAUACGAAUAAGGAUCGGCUAACUCCGUGCCAGCCGCCGCGGUAAUA
rnacentral:rRNA from 1 species